CACGCUGAAUUCAGCUAUCAUCACCACUCAGAUACGCCAUUGAUGCUCUGCUCUCUCAGUCUUUCUCUCUUAUGGGAGCAUUGUCAGUUCCCGCCAGACACCAUUUUCAACGUUUAGAAGAAAUAAAGAGUUACUUUCGUUUUCAUUGUUGAGGCUUAGAUUAAACACAGCAAUGGAUUCUCCAAGACGGAAGGAUUCCCCUUCAGGGAAUUACCGUCACCACAAGGAUAGUGGACGUAGUAGAUCUCCUGGACAUCGCCAUCAAGCACGGCGUUCUCGUUCUUAUGAUGAGGAUAGAGACAGAAGGUCACAUCAUGAUAGACGUGACAGAGGUGACAGGGGAGGUGAUAGAGGAGGAGAUCGUUAUCACAGUCGUUCCAGAUCACCAAUGUCAGGCAGAAAACGCCACAACAAUAUGCAUGGUGGCAGUCAUCGGGGUGGAGGAGGAGGUGGAGGAGGUGGUGGUGGAGGAGGUGGAGGUGGAGGUGGUCCACCAGACAAUCCAGAACCCACCCGUUGCCUUGGUGUAUUUGGAAUGGGACUAUACACAACUGAGACAGAAUUGCAGCAUGUGUUUGCCAAAUAUGGUCCCCUUGAGAAAGUACAAGUUGUUAAAGAUGCUAAGACCGGACGUUCACGGGGGUUUGCCUUUGUUUAUUUUGAGAGUCUGGAAGAUGCUAAAUUGGCCAAAGAGCAAUGUACAGGCCUAGAAAUUGACGGUCGGCGCAUUCGUGUGGAUUAUUCAAUUACUCAACGACCUCAUACUCCUACUCCGGGCAUUUAUAUGGGUAGACCCACAAUAACUAGUGGGCGUUAUGACAAAUACGACCGUAAUGAAAGAGGAUACCGUCGGUCACCUUCGCCCUACUAUGAGAAAAAUUACCGUUCCAGCCGUCGAGGUUACGAGCGUUCACGCUCGCGAUCUUAUUCUCCACGUCAGCAAGACAAAACUCGCGAGAAGUUUUGGAAGAGAGAAGGUUGAAGUUGAUUUGAGUCAAGAACAGAAAAAGGAUAAAGACAGCUCAGAAAACAGAAAAGGAAAAGGCGCAGCUCAGAAAACAGAAAAAUUUUAAGAACGAUUUGCUGUGGAAAGGGGGGAAGAUUUCUCACUGAACGAAGUCUUUACUCUGAAGAGAUCACUUUGAAACUAUCGGCUCAACUGGAGAUCUCGACAAGCUUGCUGCAGUUGAAAUUCAAUUUCAAGAUUCAAAAAAGAAGAUAUAAGUUUUCCUAGGAUGUCAAGUUAUUGGUUUAACGUUCAUUGACAUCCGACUGAAUUGGAAAAAAAUAAUGAUAAUCCAGCUGCUGUUGAAGACCAUUUUAUGUAUUAUUUCUGUUCUUCAAAGGCCUGGCAGCUGGUGAUAAGCCCCAAUACUAGACUGAUCCAUGUCCGUGAAUUCUUGUUGGAUCAAAAUUGAGAAAAAAAUAUAUAGUACACUCGACUGAACCGAGUUCGUCGUACCAUGUGCACCGACCCACGCAGAAAUAAGCCAAUCGGAGGAUCGUCCUUCAACAUCAACAUCGCCUCAUGACCCUGCUCUUUACAUUGAAGCCAGCUGCAUUUAUCGAACCGUGUCGUGACAGUCGAAGCGUGAAAAAGGCAAUAUAUUUAAUAUACUGUCAAAGGUAAAUGACAGUCGCCGUGCACGCGUGAAGGAGUUUGUAUCCGGUAUCCAUCAAUUUAUUACGUAAGGCCAACCUCUCCAUCACAGUAUGUCUAACUCUAUUGUCUCUUUUUCCUUUAAAAGUUACUGUUUUGUUUUAAAUUAAAUUUGAGAACUUGUUGAGAAAAUUCAGUUUAAAAGAACCAUCAUAGAUAAUUGAUAAGUUGUAUUAACAUUAAGACGUACAUCAAUUAAUAUUCAAAGUUUAUAGCGUGAAUAAUGAUUGUGGAUUCCACCGGUGGAAACCCGCCACAUGUGUUGAUAUUUACCGUUGUUGAACACGACCGCCACUGACAUCAAUAGCUAAAUUAGAUUAACACGUAUAGCAAAUCUGAAAAGAUCGCAAAUUGGAAGCCGAACGGAAACAGCAAGUUCUUGAAGGACGCGCCCAACCGCCUUUAGCUGCCAAUGACGCGAUGUUGCGUUUGUUGGAUGUUACCAGUUCACUGUAAUCAUCUAUGAAAAGAACCAAUAAGAACAGUGAGAAAAAGCCUCGGUCAAAAGGCUUCAACCCAAAGUAUAACCCAGCAAGAACUUUCCCUGAUGCGUCUCGCUUCAAUAAUGACUUGAAGUUGUAAACCAGGUUGCGUCGCUCUGUGCAGUCAACUGGAGAUAGAAACGCCUAAAACGAUGGAAAUAUCAAUGAAAUACCUGAUGCGUGUAAAUGAGAGCAGAUUCACAUUCCUCAAUUCCUUUGCGGGUUUCCUUGACAUCCCAGAGUACGUAGCGACCACUUGGAUGGAAUGUAUAAUUAUAGAGGCGUCGUGAUCUACUAGUGCCACCAGGCUUGAACCAGCCUACAAGUAAUAUGAAUGGAAAAAGUUAUCGGAGAUGAUUUUUCGUAUAAUAAUGUAUGAACAUAUGUUACUACCAGUGUGAGGGUAGAGACCAUCUUCCAUGACUGUCACAGGUUGAGGGACGUGGUAACCAGUAUCUAGUAUUAAAACGCCUACACGAUCUUCCAGUUCGAUGUUCAAAGCAAUGACGACAUGUUCUUUUUCAGACGUGCGGGUAUCUGGAGUUGGAGUCGAAACGUAUCGAUUUACGUUUCCAAUAUCCUUUCAUGUUAUACCACAAACAAACCGUUCAGUUAAACAGAUAUAUGUAAACAGAGGACUUUUGUUGUCGAUGUUGAUCGACAGGAUUAUUACCUCUUCGCAUGAAGCUAGAAAGAGAGCCGAUCCGAUACCAGGGAUCUUCACCUGUUGGUAGUAAAGUGACCCGGGAUUCUGUUUUUCACAAUCAUUAUCGAGCCGAAGUCCUGCCGAGAUGGACAGUGGGAAGAUUGGAGUGUUGCUGAGUCAGCUUGGCCAUGUCGAGCCCCAGCCGAACCUGCGGUAAUUUUCUGGCUCAGCCAAGCCAGCUACGCAGUCGUCGCCGAUUUGCGACUCCUGUGCCGUCCAUUGGCAUACUUUUCUCUCGGCUCUUUCUUUUCCCUCCAGAUCUGUAA